rnacentral:rRNA from 1 species
AUUGAACGCUGGCGGCAUGCUUUACACAUGCAAGUCGAACGGUAACAGGCCGCAAGGUGCUGACGAGUGGCGAACGGGUGAGUAAUGCAUCGGAACGUGCCCAGUCGUGGGGGAUAACUACUCGAAAGAGUAGCUAAUACCGCAUACGAUCUAUGGAUGAAAGCGGGGGACCGUAAGGCCUCGCGCGAUUGGAGCGGCCGAUGUCAGAUUAGGUAGUUGGUGGGGUAAAGGCUCACCAAGCCAACGAUCUGUAGCUGGUCUGAGAGGACGACCAGCCACACUGGGACUGAGACACGGCCCAGACUCCUACGGGAGGCAGCAGUGGGGAAUUUUGGACAAUGGGCGCAAGCCUGAUCCAGCAAUGCCGCGUGCAGGAAGAAGGCCUUCGGGUUGUAAACUGCUUUUGUACGGAACGAAACGGCUCUGGUUAAUACCCGGGGCUAAUGACGGUACCGUAAGAAUAAGCACCGGCUAACAACGUG